AGGAUGAACGCUGGCGGCGUGCCUAACACAUGCAAGUCGAACGUCCUGUCUCGCAGGAGGCAGGGAGUGGCGGACGGGUGAGUACCACGUGGGUCAUCUACCGUGAGGUGAGGAAUACCGGCGAGAAAUCGCCGACAAGACCGCAUAGGCUCGAUGCAAGUCGAGCAAAGCUCUUUCGAGAGAGGGAGCGCCACACGAGGAGCCUGCGCCCGAUUAGCUAGCUGGUGGAGUAACGGUUCACCAGGGCGACGAUCGGUAGCUGGUCUGAGAGGACGAUCAGCCACACUGGGAUUGAGAACGGCCCAGACUCCUACGGGGGGCAGCAGUGAGGAAUUUCGUCAAUGGGGCAACCCUGAACGAGCAACGCCGCGUGCAGGAAGAAGGUUUUCGGAUCGUAAACUGCUUUUCUCGGGGAAGAGAAUGGACGGUACCCGAGGAAUCAGCCCGGCUAACUACGCGCCAGCAGCCGCGGU
rnacentral:rRNA from 1 species